UGCUAGGUUGUAGAUCUUCUCCCUUAUUCUUUAUAGAGGAAUCCCCUAAAUUAAAAUAAGAUCUUUCUCCGCUCCGUCAAAAGCCUAAUUGAGACAAAUCAGCUCUUACUGUUCUCCAGUCUUUGCUCUUGAAGAUCCGCUCUUGAGAACCUCUAUCUCUUUCUUCAAAGCCUCAUUCGAAGCAUGUCAGUCUUACAUACAGUAUAUUACCCGCAAGUUCAUCUUCUUUGAUAAGAUAUUAAAUUAGUCAGCA
rnacentral:lncRNA from 1 species